rnacentral:rRNA from 1 species
GGCGGCCGUAACUAUAACGGUCCUAAGGUAGCGAAAUUCCUUGUCGGGUAAGUUCCGACCUGCACGAAUGGUGCAACGAUCUGGACGCUGUCUCGGCCAUGAGCUCGGUGAAAUUGAAGUAGCGGUGAAGAUGCCGCUUACCCGCAACGGGACGAAAAGACCCCAUGAACCUUUACUGCAACUUAACGUUGGCCGUUGGCCAGGAGUGUGUAGGAUAGGCGGGAGACUGUGAAGGAGCGUCGCCAGGCGUUUUGGAGUCAUUGUUGAAAUACCGCCCUCUCCUGUUCGACGGUCUAACGGGCUUAAAGUCCGGACAUUGUUUGGUGGGUAGUUUGACUGGGGUGGUCGCCUCCAAAAGAGUAACGGAGGCUUUCCAAGGUUCCCUCACGACGGUCGGCAAUCGUCGGAAGAGCGCAAUGGCAUAAGGGAGCCUGACUGCGAGAGAGACAUCUCGACCAGGCACGAAAGUGGGACAUAGUGAUCCGGUGGUACCGCAUGGAAGGGCCAUCGCUCAAAGGAUAAAAGGUACUCUGGGGAUAACAGGCUGAUCUCCCCCAAGAGCUCAAAUCGACGGGGAGGUUUGGCACCUCGAUGUCGGCUCGUCACGUCCUGGGGCUGGAGAAGGUCCCAAGGGUUGGGCUGUUCGCCCAUUAAAGUGGCACGCGAGCUGGGUUCAGAACGUCGUGAGACAGUUCGGUCUCUAUCUGUUGCGGGCGUUGGAAAUUUGAGAGGCUCUGACUUUAGUACGAGAGGACCGAGUUGGACACACCUCUGGCGUACCGGUUGUUCCGCCAGGAGCAUCGCCGGGUACCUAUGUGUGGAGCGGAUAAGCGCUGAAAGCAUCUAAGCGCGAAACCCACCUCGAGAUGAGAUUUCCUUAUAAGGGUUGUUGUAGAUGACGACGUUGAUAGGCUUCAAGUGUAAGUUCAGAGAUGGAUUCAGCUGAGAAGUACUAAUCGCCCAAAAGCUUUUCUAC